rnacentral:rRNA from 1 species
UACGUAGGGGGCAAGCGUUGUCCGGAAUCAUUGGGCGUAAAGAGCGUGUAGGCGGCUCGAUAAGUCCGCUGUGAAAGUCCAGGGCUCAACCCUGGAAGGCCGGUGGAAACUGUCGGGCUAGAGUCCGGAAGAGGCGAGUGGAAUUCCUGGUGUAGCGGUGAAAUGCGCAGAUAUCAGGAGGAACACCAAUGGCGAAGGCAGCACUCUGGGACGUGACUGACGCUGAGACGCGAAAGCGUGGGGAGCAAACAGG